rnacentral:rRNA from 1 species
GACAAACGCUGGCGGCGUGCCUAACACAUGCAAGUCGAACGGGGUAAGGAGCUUCGGUUUUUUACUUAGUGGCGAACGGGUGAGUAACGCGUGAGGAACCUGCCUUUCAGUGGGGGACAACAGUUGGAAACGACUGCUAAUACCGCAUAAUGCAUUUAGGGGGCAUCCCCUGAAUGCCAAAGCUUUAUGUGCUGAAAGAUGGUCUCGCGUCUGAUUAGCUAGUUGGUGAGGUAACGGCUCACCAAGGCGACGAUCAGUAGCCGGUCUGAGAGGAUGAACGGCCACAUUGGGACUGAGAUACGGCCCAG